UACAGAGGUCUCAAGCGUUGUUCGGAUUCAUUGGGCGUAAAGGGUGCGUAGGCGGCGCGGUAAGUCGGGUGUGAAAUCUUGGAGCUUAACUCCGAAACUGCAUUCGAUACUGCCGUGCUUGAGGACUGGAGAGGAGACUGGAAUUCUCGGUGUAGCGGUGAAAUGCGUAGAUAUCGAGAGGAACACCUGCGGCGAAGGCGGGUUGCUGGGCCGACACUGACGCUGAUGCGCGAAAGCCAGGGGAGCGAACGGG
rnacentral:rRNA from 1 species